rnacentral:rRNA from 1 species
UUUAAUUUAAGAGUUUGAUCCUGGCUCAGGAUGAACGCUGGCGGCGUGCUUAACACAUGCAAGUCGAGCGGAAAUAUGAAAUCUAAGAG